ACAUUUACCUUAAACCUAUUAAAAUUAAGAAAAAUUUGAAUCGCUAUAACUCCGAAGAUAAUAACUUUGGAUCAAUGAAUAAACGAUCAUUAGAAGCGCGGUACUUUGCCCUUUAAAACACUUUUUCAUUUAUCUCGAUAUGAUUUCCGGUUCCCGAGAUAUCGUCGUGUAAAGAGAAGGGUAAUUUUUCAUCGUUUACUAUCUCCGUCUCUGUCGCUUAUCCGAAUCUCUCGCUCGCACCUCGCCUCACUGACCUAUCUCAAACUCCAGACGAGUGACAGACGCGAUUCUUGGAAAAAAACGUAGGAUGCAUUUCCAGGUAAGUGUAUAGGUCAUUGACCGCGCCUAUUCCUAUCUUACGCUAUGUUACGCGCUAUGGAAACUUCGAAUGCUUAUAUCUCGGCGACGGAUUGAGAUAUCAAGAUGAAUCAAAAACUGACUCGAUUGGCAUGAUUUCCUCUACUUUUCCAAUUGGUUUUGAUCACAAAAUUUUAAAUCCUUUCUCGGAUUAUUUACAUAAAAAUUGGUUUUAUACUGAUGUACAACGAACAAUAAUAAACACAACGAAACGAUCCAUGAUGAUGCAAGAUACGUAGAACGAGGAAAAUUUUAUCAAACAAAAAGGCGUUAUUAUCUGUACAAGUAGCGACAUAUAUGGUCACGAACUUAUGGUUCAAGGCGCGUAUACGCCGUGAUCUACGAUACACAGACCACUUUACAUUUAUUGCUUGAUUCACAGUCCCCGUGUGCGGUUGGUAAUCGGCGCGUUAGCCUACUUGGGUGCUCGCCGAGAGGGCAGAACUUUAAACGACGAAACACGUAAUUUUCACGACGUGGUGGAAGCUUGGGUGGUGAUUCGACUCGGUGUGCACGCCGUGAAGACGCCAACGAUGUCGACAACGAUAAACUGAAGCUCGUUAACACCAGUAGUGAGCCUGCUUGUACGAGAUACGCGGUGGAUCUGUGUGCAGAUACGUAGAAGUCGUAGGUAUCCAGCAUCCUUGGCCGUGCACACACCUCCAAGGCUUUGUCCACGAGGCGGAGACCGUAAAACGGAGCUGGUUAAAAAAGAAGCGGAACGAAGCAAAUCGAGAUAACGUUACGAGCGACACGCUUAUGGCUUUUUCAUGCACUAUAUCGAGACUCGGGAAUAAAUUAAAAAUUAUUCCACGUGUAAACGAUUAAAUGGAGCUAUUAACCUUACCUCUUAUUGAAGAAGCGGCUCUAUUGCAUUUUUUUUAGUGCUAUAAUCAUAUGAAGGAAAGACAUACAGAAGUAAGAGAAGAUGAAUUUCAUUCGAAAGAAGAAUUGCUAUGGAAUACUAAUGAAAGAGUGAAGAUAGAUUGGAAUACUAAUGGAAGAGUGAAGAUAGAUUUUUAUUAGAAGAGUUUAGAAUCUUUUAAUCAACGAUUUUGUUAAGAUUUUAUACUAAAUAAAAUAAAUGUAAUAAAUAUAAUAAAAUAAAUAAAAUUUCAAUAUUA